rnacentral:tRNA from 1 species
GGGCGCAUAGCUCAGUUGGCUAGAGCGCUGCCUUUACAUGGCAGAUGUCGGGGGUUCGAGUCCCUCUGCGCCCA